rnacentral:rRNA from 1 species
CCUAUUAGUGGGGGACAACAUUUCGAAAGGAAUGCUAAUACCGCAUACGCCCUACGGGGGAAAGCAGGGGAUCUUCGGACCUUGCGCUAAUAGAUGAGCCUAAGUCGGAUUAGCUAGUUGGUGGGGUAAAGGCCUACCAAGGCGACGAUCUGUAGCGGGUCUGAGAGGAUGAUCCGCCCCACUGGGACUGAGACACGGCCCAGACUCCUACGGGAGGCAGCAGUGGGGAAUAUUGGACAAUGGGGGGAACCCUGAUCCAGCCAUGCCGCGUGUGUGAAGAAGGCCUUUUGGUUGUAAAGCACUUUAAGCGAGGAGGAGGAGCUCUAGAUUAAUACUCUAGAUGCUUGGACGUUACUCGCAGAAUAAGCACCGGCUAACUCUGUGCCAGCAGCCCGCGGUAAUACAGAGGGUGCAAGCGUUAAUCGGAUUUACUGGGCGUAAAGCGUGCCGUAGGUGGUCUUUUAAGUCGGAUGUGAAAUCCCUGAGCUUAACUUAGGAAUUGCAUUCGAUACUGGGAGACUAGAGUAUGGGAGAGGAUGGUAGAAUUCCAGGUGUAGCGGUGAAAUGCGUAGAGAUCUGGAGGAAUACCCAUGGCCAAGGCAGCCCAUCUGGCCUAAUACUGACACUGAGGUACCAAAGCAUGGGGAGCAAGCCACGAUUAGAUACCCUGGUAGUCCCUGCCCUAAACCA